rnacentral:rRNA from 1 species
AGUGAACGCUGGCGGUAGGCCUAACACAUGCCAGUCGAACGGCAGCACAGUAAGAGCUUGCUCUUACGGGUGGCGAGUGGCGGACGGGUGAGGAAUACAUCGGAAUCUACUUUUUCGUGGGGGAUAACGUAGGGAAACUUACGCUAAUACCGCAUACGACCUACGGGUGAAAGCAGGGGAUCUUCGGACCUUGUGCGAUUGAAUGAGCCGAUGUCGGAUUAGCUAGUUGGCGAGGUAAAGGCCAACCAAGGCGACGAUCCGUAGCUGGUCUGAGUGGAUGAUCAGCCACACUGGAACGGAGACACGGUCCAGACUCCUACGGGAGGCAGCAGUGGGGAAUAUUGGGCAAUGGGCGCAAGCCUGAUCCAGCCAUACCGCGUGGGUGAAGAAGGCCUUCGGGUUGUAAAGCCCUUUUGUUGGUAAAGAAAAGCAGCAGGUUAAUACCCCGCUGUUCUGACGGUACCCAAAGAAUAAGCACCGGCUAACUUCGUG